UCAGAACGAACGCUGGCGGCGUGGAUAAGACAUGCAAGUCGAACGAGAGAAUUGCUAGCUUGCUAAUGAUUCUCUAGUGGCGCACGGGUGAGUAACACGUGAGUAACCUGCCCCCGAGAGCGGGAUAGCCCUGGGAAACUGGGAUUAAUACCGCAUAGUAUCGAAAGAUUAAAGCAGCAAUGCGCUUGGGGAUGGGCUCGCGGCCUAUUAGUUAGUUGGUGAGGUAACGGCUCACCAAGGCGAUGACGGGUAGCCGGUCUGAGAGGAUGUCCGGCCACACUGGAACUGAGACACGGUCCAGACACCUACGGGUGGCAGCAGUCGAGAAUCAUUCACAAUGGGGGAAACCCUGAUGGUGCGACGCCGCGUGGGGGAAUGAAGGUCUUCGGAUUGUAAACCCCUGUCAUGUGGGAGCAAAUUAAAAAGAUAGUACCACAAGAGGAAGAGACGGCUAACUCUGUGCCAGCAGCCGCGGUAAUACAGAGGUCUCAAGCGUUGUUCGGAAUCACUGGGCGUAAAGCGUGCGUAGGCUGUUUCGUAAGUCGUGUGUGAAAGGCGCGGGCUCAACCCGCGGACGGCACAUGAUACUGCGAGACUAGAGUAAUGGAGGGGGAACCGGAAUUCUCGGUGUAGCAGUGAAAUGCGUAGAUAUCGAGAGGAACACUCGUGGCGAAGGCGGGUUCCUGGACAUUAACUGACGCUGAGGCACGAAGGCCAGGGGAGCGAAAGGGAUUAGAUACCCCUGUAGUCCUGGCAGUAAACGG
rnacentral:rRNA from 1 species